rnacentral:rRNA from 1 species
CAUUUGAAACUAUCACUCUAGAGUAUGGGAGAGGUAGGUGGAAUUCUUGGUGUAGGGGUAAAAUCCGUAGAGAUCAAGAGGAAUACUCAUUGCGAAGGCGACUACUGGAACAUUACUGACGCUCAUGCACGAAAGCGUGGGGAGCAAACAGGAUUAGAUACCCUGGUAGUCCACGCCCUAAACGAUGAAUGCUAGUUGUUGCCCUGCUUGUCAGGGCAGUAAUGCAGCUAACGCAUUAAGCAUUCCGCCUGGGGAGUACGGUCGCAAGAUUAAAACUCAAAGGAAUAGACGGGGACCCGCACAAGCGGUGGAGCAUGUGGUUUAAUUCGAAGAUACGCGAAGAACCUUACCUAGGCUUGACAUUGAUAGAAUCCUAUAGAGAUAUGGGAGUGCCCUUCGGGGAGCUUGAAAACAGGUGCUGCACGGCUGUCGUCAGCUCGUGUCGUGAGAUGUUGGGUUAAGUCCCGCAACGAGCGCAACCCUCGUCCUUAGUUGCUAGCAGCUCGGCUGAGCACUCUAAGGAGACUGCCUUCGUAAGGAGGAGGAAGGUGAGGACGACGUCAAGUCAUCAUGGCCCUUACGCCUAGGGCUACACACGUGCUACAAUGGGGCAUACAAUGAGGAGCAAUACCGCGAGGUGGAGCAAAUCUCUAAAAUGUCUCUCAGUUCGGAUUGUAGUCUGCAACUCGACUACAUGAAGCUGGAAUCGCUAGUAAUCGCAAAUCAGCAAUGUUGCGGUGAAUACGUUCCCGGGUCUUGUACUCACCGCCCGUCACACCAUGGGAGUUGUAUUCGCCUUAAGUCGGGAUACUAAAUUGGUUACCGCCCACGGCGGAUGCAGCGACUGGGGUGAAGUCGUAACAAGGUAACCGUAGGUGAACCUGCGGUUGGA